CAGACUUACAAAUGUAACUGCUAGUAGCGGGACCUGCCAUAUCUGCUUCACUGGUUAUUGAGUGGUAGAACCAACACGUCGUGUUUUUUAUGGGAUCCAUGUGUCAAUUUUGGUAGUUGAACGCACCAUAAUUUCUUCAUAGGUUAUUGUGUGAUGCCAUUAUUUUGUUCAAUCUAAUAUAAAUAUGUGGUGGCCAGAAAAAAGUUCAUUAGUGGGGUCGUGAGCUAAUGAAUAUGACAUUGCAGUUGUUUCGCUCCAUCUCAAAAAGGUAAAUACGAGAUUGGCUGGGAAAGAUUUGGUAGGAGGAUUUUUCUACCGGACCUAUGCUUCAGUGUUUCUCUAUGGGGUCCACACGUAGGACCCAUGAGAAUUUCUUUACGGCGUAUUGAGCAGUGUAAAUAUUUUCUGAGUCUAAUAUAAAUAAGUAGUGGCCGAAAAAAAUGCUCAUUGGUUGCGCUGGUGAGCUGAUGGGUAUGGCAGUACAGUGCAACAGUUAUUUCGUCCUAACAAAAAAAAAGCACUCCUUCCCACAUGGUCUUUCCUGUAGGGAUUUCCAACAGGGUAGAGUUCAUGCGAAACUAUGCGAAUAUAUCUUUAUCAUGUCAUUGUACUACACGACCUAUCCCCUGGUGCCUUUUUACUUUUUUUAUUAGCAGAUUAUACACAAACAUGGUACGUGCCUUUCUAAUUUUUCUGAUCAAAUUAUAGACGUUCAUGGUACGUGUCAAACCCUCAUUUUUUACCUCUAAAAAAACCCAUAUUUUUUUCACGUGAGCGUGUCAAACCCACAUAUUUUUUCUAGUUUAAGCAUAUAAUUUUUUCGCCCCUGCGCGCUGAGAAUUAAAAUUUUAAGUUAAUUAGGCUCGAUGGCAAAAGUUUCUCAACGAAGCCCAUUUAACUACCCACAGUUCCACCCUAAUCCCCAUUAUCUCAUCUGGCGUCGCCCCGAUCCAAUCUUGCGCCGUCUCCUUCCUUUCACCGUCUCGAUCCAAUCUGCUAGCAUCCCCCCUCCGCCGCUCCUCUCCAGCAGCCCCCACGCUCCCACUCCCGCCCCGUCCACCUCCGCCGCCCCCACCAUCGAUGCAACAACCACCGCCACCGCCACCAUCGAGACCGCGGAGGAAGCCGUUGCAGCACCGGUGGUGGAAGAGGCGCCGCCGACGCCGCAGGCAGCCGCGCUCGGUAGGAGCAGCCUCUGCACGGGACAAUUCUCCACAUGAUCUGGUGACGCAAGCCGUCGACCCACCGGAAGUACUCCGUGUCGUGCGGCUGCUCUUCUGGACGCUCUCGGCGCUGCUCGUCCAUGGCGUGAUCUCCGCUACCGCUGCCUCCAACCACGCUGACCUCUUGCUCCAGUUCUUCCACUUGGCUUACAGCUGGGCGGGUUCUUGGCUUCUGGCCGGAGCCAGCCACCGUGGCGCUCCUCUACCACGCCCGCUGCAUCCUCCUCGAGACCAUGCCGCCCUUCUCUGUUUCCCUGACGAGGCCACUGUCGCAGGCAUUUUGCAGCGCUGCUCCCAUCCAGAUGCUUUGUUGUGGCGCUCCUCCUGUCAUUCUCUCCAUUUAAAUGUUUGAGCGAGAAAUCAAUGGCGCUUUCUAGCUGUGCGGGAGUGGACAUGUUCAGCGUGUGUGGGAUUUCUCAAGUUCCAAGCUGACAUCGUCGAUGAGAAGACUGAACCCAAGGCUGAAGGUGGAGGAGGGCGUGGACGGGAUUUGGUCCCAGCAUUGCACUCAGAGAUGCUCUAAUAUUUAAGGAGUCCUUGUUUCUUAUAUUAUAUUUUAUCACAUUGCCAUCAAAUUAAAUUGCUUGAUUGAGUAAAUAGCUUCAUAAUGUACUAGUAAAUCUUUGCUACCAUUAUUGGCAAGUUUUUGUAAGUAAUCUUUCUAGUCAAGCACUUGUGUAUCAUCUAUAGUAAUCUUAUGUUUUGCCAUUUUUCUCUUCUGAUUUUCUCAUCUUGUUUUCAUAGGCUUACUGGCUGCGUCUUCUAUGCUACUUGGUACACUCGUUAGACCCCAAAGCGAUGAAAUCUUCAUUUUUUGUUAAUACAAUAUUACGUGAAAUGCUUAUUAAUAGUGCUGCUUAUUUAAAGUACUACAUUACAGAAUCUGUUUUGUUAAUUUUUACCAUCAAUGCAAAGACAAACAUGUAUUUGCGUGCUAAUUUUGCUACUUUAUUACAUUCAUGUUUGUUUUAGGAAAGUACAUAUGCGCAUGAAAAAUUGUUGCAUUGUCUAAGGUCCAAUUCCAAACUAGUUGAAGUGGAAUUCAUUUAGUUAGUUUUAUGACACAUGCUAGUAAGUAUUUUGCAAUUCAUUUAGUUCCACUCUUUUUCAUCCUGCAUGUUCUGCUACUACAAUCAUGCCACUAGUUCGGGAGAGUGAGAGGGAAAGGAGGGCAUUCCUCGCGGAACAUAAACGCAUGGGUGAUGUGUAUGCUAAGCUAAGGGGUGCAUUGAUUACAUGUACUUUAACCAUUAUACCUCUAGCUCAAGGUUAUGCAUGUUAUCUUGUCAAUUUUCAUCUCAUUAUGAUGCAACGUUGUUGUGUUUGUCAUUUAUAGGCAUCGGGAGGAGUUAGCCGCAAGACUUGAAGCACAAGAGAGAGCAUUUGAAGAGAUACAAAAGAAGCAGCAAGAAGAAUUGGAAGCUCUAAAGAAGAUCCAACAAGAGAAGAAUGAAGCCUAGGCAAAGAAGCAAAAGGAGAUGGAUAAUCUGCUUGAUUUUCUCUUGAGGGCUCAAGCAACUUAGCAAGCAACUCUGUAGUCCCAGUCCAAACCAGAUGGUUCAUGAAAGCCAUCCUUACAUUGCAAUCAUCAGGACAACAUAUGUGGUCUUUAGUUAAUAUUAGUUUUCAUCUUGUCUAUUGUCUAUGUCAAACUUGAGUCAGUUUUUUACCGUCAUUUUUGUUUACAGAAUGAUUUGGCUGAUACAAUCUCAUAUAUAAUAUGAUUUGUCUUACAUAUCAAUUUAUGAUGUGAUUUUUCUCUA